GCCAGUGGUCGGGUUUCUAAACAUGCUAGUCGAGCGGAAACGAGUUAUCUGAACCUUCGGGGAACGAUAACGGCGUAGAGCGGCGGACGGGUGAGUAAUGCCUAGGAAAUUGCCCUGAUGUGGGGGAUAACCAUUGGAAACGAUGGCUAAUACCGCAUGAUGCCUACGGGCCAAAGAGGGGGACCUUCGGGCCUCUCGCGUCAGGAUAUGCCUAGGUGGGAUUAGCUAGUUGGUGAGGUAAGGGCUCACCAAGGCGACGAUCCCUAGCUGGUCUGAGAGGAUGAUCAGCCACACUGGAACUGAGACACGGUCCAGACUCCUACGGGAGGCAGCAGUGGGGAAUAUUGCACAAUGGGCGCAAGCCUGAUGCAGCCAUGCCGCGUGUGUGAAGAAGGCCUUCGGGUUGUAAAGCACUUUCAGUCGUGAGGAAGAUGGUGUAGUUAAUAGCUGCAUUAUUUGACGUUAGCGACAGAAGAAGCACCGGCUAACUCCGUGCCAGCAGCCGCGGUAAUACGGAGGGUGCGAGCGUUAAUCGGAAUUACUGGGCGUAAAGCGCAUGCAGGUGGUUUGUUAAGUCAGAUGUGAAAGCCCGGGGCUCAACCUCGGAAUAGCAUUUGAAACUGGCAGACUAGAGUACUGUAGAGGGGGGUAGAAUUUCAGGUGUAGCGGUGAAAUGCGUAGAGAUCUGAAGGAAUACCGGUGGCGAAGGCGGCCCCCUGGACAGAUACUGACACUCAGAUGCGAAAGCGUGGGGAGCAAACAGGAUUAGAUACCCUGGUAGUCCACGCCGUAAACGAUGUCUACUUGGAGGUUGUGGCCUUGAGCCGUGGCUUUCGGAGCUAACGCGUUAAGUAGACCGCCUGGGGAGUACGGUCGCAAGAUUAAAACUCAAAUGAAUUUGACGGGGGCUCCGCAACAAGCGGUGGAGCAUGUGGUUUUAAUUUCGAUGCCAACGCGAAGAACCUUUACCCUACUCUUUGAUAUCCCAGAAGAACUUUUCCCAGGAGAUGGAUUUGUGCCUUCGGAACUUCCUGAGAACAGUGCUUGCAUGGCCUGGUCGUCAGCUCGUGAUUGUGAAUUGUUCGGAUUAAGGUUCCCGGCACCGAGCGCCAACUCUUUAUUCCUUGUUUGGCCCAGCGAAGUAAUUGUCCUGAACUCAUGCCAGACUGCCGUGUUGAUAUAACUCCGCGUAAGGA
rnacentral:rRNA from 1 species